AUUUUUCAGAACUUCUUUGAAACGCACCAGUUUACUGGCAACAAAAGGCAGCAUUUUGAAGGUAUCCGCUUUGCUCCAAAAUCUUAAGUUGCAAAGAUAUUACAACUAAAACAAAUAAAAAAGCACAGUCACCGGAUUAAGGAAAUCUUGGUUGAUUAAUCAUAUGUGUUUCAAUCUGCAUAGAUUUGAAACUUUUAAAAAACUACUUUUAGAGAACAAAAAAUGGUUUCUGUGUUUUUACUUAUACGCACAUACAUGUCAUGGCAGUAGAAGAGGCAGUCCCUGUUCUCUUUCACACAAGAGGGAAUAGCUCUUAGGAACAUAGGCAGUGGCCUUAUAAUGAGCUAGAUCUUAUACUAGCUAACUAUCUUCACAGCUUGACAACAGCUUUCUUGGGGUUUCAAAGAGGGAGUCUUUCCAGCCCAUUUCAGCAUUGCUGGGGAUUGAACCUGGGACCCCUUGCAUGCCAAAGCAAGCGCUUCACCACUGUGAUAUUAUCCUUCCCCUCAAAAUGAAUUAAUGUUCUAGCUAGCCCCAAUGGUUCUGAAUAAAGGGCUGGUUUAAAUACAAAGCUGCCUUAUACUGUGUCAAACCAUUGGUUUAUCUAGCUAAGUAUUGGCAGCGACACUCCAGGGUUUCAGGUGGGGCGUCUUUUCUAGCUGGACUUGGAGAUGCCAGGAAUUGAACGCAGGACCCUUCGCAUGCAGAGCAGAUGCUCUCCCACUGGACCACAACAGCCCUUCCUCUUCUUAGAUGGUGCUUGCCAGUUUUCAGAGGUUACUAGUAUUAAAGGUAACGCUAAAGUAAUUUAACUAGAUAAUCAGGGCACCUUUUUAGUUGAUUUUUUAAACCCAAUUAAUCAACCUAAAGGAUGCUGCCCUAAAAUUGCUGACAUGUUUGAAACUUUGUCAGCACCAGAAUUUGCUGUAUUUGACAUGGAAUUUUGAUCUUUUCCUUUUGGAUUUCAACCUUUAGCGAAAAUAUAAAAAUAAAUAAAUUCCGAGAAGUUCAAAUUUGAAUGCCAUCUCAGCAGUGUGAGACAUAGUAGCAGAUCGUUCCUUUCAGCUCUCCCCAAAUGGGGUUAAUCGCCAACAUCUGUGGUCAGAUUCGAAGCCAUUGUUUGAGGUAUCUGUGUGUUUGUAUAAAAGGGUGGUAGGAAAUGUAAUUGGGGUUGGGGUGGGGAUUUCCAAGUAUCAUACUCUGAUAACAGCUUCAUGGAUAUAAAUUAUACAGAGAAUAGUAUUACUAUAAUGCAUUUAAAAUGAUGAAAUGAAUUUGGAUUUAUAUUUAAAUGAGGAGACAUUAUCGAAGUGGCUCUCCUAGCCAGACUAGUUGCAGAAGUAUUUUUAGCUGGUGGGAAGUUGAUUUCUCCCCGCCCCCUUCCCCACUCCCUCACUCACACACACACAUGCCCUCUCUCACACACUCACUCACUCUCUCAUACACUUUUUAAAAAUCUCCAACAAUGCAAAGGCUAUGACUGUUAAAUCUCAAAACCCUCCUGAAUCAAGUCAACAGCAACGAACAUUUCAAUCUUUUAAUCCUUUCAUUUGUUUUUGCCUUGAUGAUAAUGAUGCAUUUACAUGCCUGGUUGUUUGAGGUUUUUGGUUGUUGUUGUUUUUUUUUUAAUGGAGAGGGGGGAAGACAAAAAAAAAAUUAGAACAUUUCUUUAUAAUUUAAUAUUUCUAUUUUAAUAAAUGCAUUUAUUACAUGUAAAUGUAGUAAGGAACUGGGCUAAAUAAAAUACUUUUUAUUAGGUAAUUUAUUAUAAGGAACAAAGGAUAUUUUAUUUUAUGAUAAAGUGAUCCUUAAAAAGAUUAGAAUGUUUAGAAUAUAUGUAGGUUGAAAAUACAUUUGUAUCCAGAGUAUUGCUUAAAAAGUGUUUUUAAUAUAUGUUUCUUUCUUUCCCCCUUCCUCUUUUUCGUGCGUGUGUGUGUGUAUGUAUCAGUGGGUAGUUACAGUAAGAAUAGCCCUUCCCAGAAAAAAAUAGUUAUCACAAAGUUGUAUUUAAAAAUGAUUAAAAGUGAUGAACAUUACAAAUCGGACAAAAGAAAUGCCACUUUUAAAACUGUAAAUGUUUGCCUUUGGUUUAAAAUCAUCCUCAGCUCACCAACAAUUAUGCAAUUUUCAUUAUUAUUGGAUGUUUAAAAAAUAAGCACACACUUAAGAAUUUAACUGCAUAGAACAAAUUUGGGUGAAGCUGGGUUGGCAUACUUGCCUCUUAGUGGAUCUGCUUAGUUGAGCCUAUGCCAUCCUAGUGUCCUUCAAAUGUUCCUGGACUACAAAUUCCAUAGGAAUUACAGUCCCUGGAGGACUCCAGGUUGGCAAGGGCUGGUGUGGACUCAUAGAGUCCAUGUUUGCAGAGUUAGAAUCAAGGGCUUUGUGGGCAAAUUGUCAGACCAACACUAAGCAGGUCCUUGUCUCUGAGCUCUCUUCAGGACCAUUUGGGUACCUGAAAUCCUCCCUCAAGACAUCCUCUUUGAUGAGCAGGCAGGUGUGGGAUUCGAGAUGGUCUAGCUUGCAUGAAUACUCAGGACAUCCUUUUGGGUCCGGUCCUGGCUUAGCAGAGCAGGACCAUAUGUUUUUAAGCUAGUUUAGGAUCCUGUCACCACUCUCCUCGGCUGCUGCCUCUUCCUAUGCAGUCUUUAUCAGGACAGUUUUGGACCAGGGACCACAACCCUUUCCCUUUAAACAUGGAGAUAGAUGCAGGGUGAGUACGACCACAGAAGCUGGGAAAUGGUAAACAGAAUAUGACUCUGGGCAAAUAGACAUAAAAAUGGCAGCCAGCCACUGUCUCUGUUGCUGGUCAGCUGGCGAUCUGUUGUGCCAUGUCAAGCAGCAAGGAGAAUUUCCCCAUAAUUUCCUAUUAGAAAUCCAAGGGAUCCGGGAAAUGAAACAAUUCUACCAGUCCCUUAGCUGUCUAAUAACACCCACACUAUGGUAAAUUACUACUUUGUAAAUGGUUGUCUAUAUCUAUCCUCCAUCUUUACUGGUGGGCUAACGUAUUUUGGGUCAUCCAAAGAGGACCUUCUCUGCCCCUGUGGAGAGUGUUAGAAAGACAAUAAGCAAUUUGCUUCUCUAGAGUUAUUCAUUUCCUAUCACAAAAUUCUUAAGCUUGUGCAUUGAUUUUUUAUUUUUAAAUAUACAUUUUUACAAUCUUAAAAGCAUAGGGGUAAUGAUCCAGGUAACAGUUUAUUCCCACAUGUUGCUGGACAGUUGCCUUGUUUUGCUAGAGAUUCAAAGUACUUUGUUGGUGAUUGAGCACCCAGUACUGUGCAGGAUAGAACCCUCCAAGUGUAUCUCUACACAACAGACUUAAGUGGAAUUAGCCUUCAUUCACUCUUCCCGGGAGACUGUACAUUAUUUGUGUCAGGGAGCCAGGAGUUGUAUUUACAGGAUUGUAAGAAACCCUCACCACGCUGCAAUCCCCAUAAUUCUCUGGGGCAGGAGCCAUGACAGACUAACUAGUAUGAAACUGACAUUUGUUUUAGAUGCAUGCCUCCUGGUGGCAGCCAACAUAAUGCCCUCCAGAUGUUGUUGGACCACAACUCCCAUCAUCCUGACCAUUGGCCAUGCUGAAUAGGCCUAAUGGGAGCUGGAGUCCAACAACUGAAUGGCACCAUCUUGGCAACCCCUUAGAGCUCGCAAACUUUUCUUUGUUUUUAUAAAAAGCCAUGAGUAUCCAGAAUCUACUUUUCUUAGAGGACAGGGACAUUUAUGAGUCUUCUGCCUUUCAACAAAAUAUCCUUAAGGUAAGAAAGCUACACACACCCCAGCUCUGUUGGCCUUUGCUCACAGAAUCAUUUUGUAAUUUUUAACCAAAAAGAGAGAGAGGGAGAAAGGGAGGGAAGAGGAAUCAUUAAGUAUAUUAAAAAAAAAAUCUUUCUAAAAGUAUAAAACUUUCUAAUGUAUUUCUUAUAAUCCUAUAGAAAAUAAUAAAAAUAAAUAGUAGAUGAUAUCAAUAUAAAAUAUAAGAAAACUGACGAUCCCAGACUGAGCAGAAUGUAAAAUAAACUCUUAACCAAGGUCAGGUUUGUUUUCGUUUUAUUAAUUUUCCUGCUAAUGCUAUGUCCCCCCACCCACCCAGAACUACAUUCCUUAGCUGAAAUUUGAACCACAGUUUAGUAACUUUGUGUCAAUCUAAGCUGCAAUGUUAUUUUUUUAUAGGGGGGAAAUUGUGGGAUCUAAUAAUAUGUAUUUUUUAAAAAAAGAAUUAAGUUUUGGUGGUUUUUUAUGUUGAUCUUUUAAAGAAUAUCCAUCCAAUACAUUAGAAAGGAAACAAAGAUUAGACUUAUCCUUUUUAAUUCUGACUUCCAGCACUGUGCUAGGAAGGGUUUGAGUUUUGAACAGAAAUUGGAACAUUGAGGUUUUGUUUUUCUUUAAAGGAAAAGCUGGUGUUUUCCUUCAGAG
rnacentral:lncRNA from 1 species